rnacentral:pre_miRNA from 1 species
AAAAAGGCAAACCCUGGUUUCCGUGUCCAAUGUUUGACCGUCUGUCUUAUUUGAAAAAAUUAUAAAAAAAAUUAAAAAGACAAGUCACGCAUAAAAUAUUAAUCAUGUUUUAUCAUCUAACAACAAUGAAAAUACGAAUUAUAAAAAAAUUUCAUAUAAGACGGAUAGUCAAAGUUGGACACGGAAACCCAUGGUU